UACGAAGGGGGCUAGCGUUGCUCGGAAUGACUGGGCGUAAAGGGCGCGUAGGCGGUUUGUACAGUCAGGUGUGAAAUUCCCGGGCUCAACCUGGGGGCUGCACUUGAUACAUAUGGACUGGAGUGGGGAAGAGGGUCGUGGAAUUCCCAGUGUAGAGGUGAAAUUCGUAGAUAUUGGGAAGAACACCGGUGGCGAAGGCGGCGACCUGGUCCUUGACUGACGCUGAGGCGCGAAAGCGUGGGGAGCAGACAGG
rnacentral:rRNA from 1 species